rnacentral:rRNA from 1 species
AGUGAACGCUGGCGGUAGGCCUAACACAUGCAAGUCGAACGGCAGCACAGGAGAGCUUGCUCUCUGGGUGGCGAGUGGCGGACGGGUGAGGAAUACAUCGGAAUCUACCUUUUCGUGGGGGAUAACGUAGGGAAACUUACGCUAAUACCGCAUACGACCUACGGGUGAAAGUGGGGGACCGCAAGGCCUCACGCGAUUAGAUGAGCCGAUGUACGAUUAGCUAGUUGGCGGGGUAAUGGCCCACAAAGGCGACGAUCGGUAGCUGGUCCGAGAGGAUGAUCAGCCACACUGGAACUGAGACACGGUCCAGACUCCUACGGGAGGCAGCAGUGGGGAAUAUUGGACAAUGGGCGCAAGCCUGAUCCAGCCAUCCCGCGUGGGUGAAGAAGGCCUUCGGGUUGUAAAGCCCUUUUGUUGGGAAAGAAAUCCUGUCGAUUAAUACUCGGUGGGGAUGACGGUACCCAAAGAAUAAGCACCGGCUAACUUCGUGCCAGCCGCCGCAGUAAUAC